AUUGAACGCUGGCGGCAGGCCUAACACAUGCAAGUCGAGCGGAGCGGCGGACGGGGGAGUAAUGCCUUGGAAUCUGCCUGGUAGUGGGGGAUAACGUCCGGAAACGGGCGCUAAUACCGCAUACUAUCAGAUGAGCCUCGGUCGGAUUAGCUAGUUGGUGGGGUAAAGGCCUACCAAGGCGACGAUCCGUAACUGGUCUGAGAGGAUGAUCAGUCACACUGGAACUGAAACACGGUCCAGAGUCCUACGGGAGGCAGAAGUGGGGAAUAUUGGACGAUGGGCGAAAGCCUGGUGCAGCCAUUCCGCGUGUGGGAAGAAGGUGUUCGGAUUGUAAAGCACGUUGAGUUGGGAGGCGGGACCAGCAGAUUAAGCACCGGCUAACUUCGUGCCAGCCGCCGCGGUAAUUC
rnacentral:rRNA from 1 species